AUUGUUCUGAAGUUUCAAAGUUUGUAAUAUUUCUUGAGUCAGUCAGUUAUUACAAGUUCAUGGCAGUUUGCUGUGAUUGUAUUUGUAUAGAUAUAUUGUCUGCGUGAGUACAGGAUGAUGACAAUCACACAACAUGGAACACAAUGGCCAGGUCAACAAAACACUGUUGUGUAUUCCACUCAGGGAGUUAAAAAAAAGAACUUUUUGUGUGCAGAAUCUUUGAGCAGCAGCCAAAGUCAUGUACCUUUAUUCUUUUUCACAAGCUCAUGGUUAGAAUCCAAGGUUUGUAGUAUAUUUUUGUGCUUUUGAUGUGUGUGUGGUUGAUCGAGAAAAUAUCCAUAUUACAUUGUUUUCAAAUCAUGUUCUAUGAAUGAAUCCUAUAUUGUCUGAUGUUUUAUGAUGUUAAUUCAGAUUAUAAUAAUGUUGAUCUCUUAUUUUGAAUAGAUGUGCUCCUUGUUUUUGCUUGUAACUUGAAUUCAAAGGCAGCUAGUCAUUUAUUUUGCAAUCUCAGUUACUCAGAAAAUGAGCCAUGAGGCCAUUGUAUAUUUGGCACACUGCAUUCAUCUUGCUGAAUGUCAAGGCUUCAAAACAUAGAGGCGUUACCAUUAGCAGAUUUUCUGAGUGAACUAUGAGAGUGUGUGGACCAUAUCAAAUUUAUUUGUGUAAAUAAUAUUAGAGAAUAUAUUUUCAUAGGAAUUGUUUACAGAAUACAGCAUUGAUAGUAAAUGAAAAAUGUUUUUGUUUUGUAUGAAAGCUAAUACGUUUUUCUUCAUUGAAAGUACAUGUUUAAGUUGGCAUUUGCACCAGAGGAUUUUCUUGUGCUAGUCAGAAACAAUAGAAAGGCUGAGAUAAAAUACCUUUGUUUAGAGAUUGGUAUCUGUACAGUGUGAUAUGUAGUUUAUAAGAACUUAUUUGUUCCUUACUUAUACUGUAAAUCACUUUAAAAGUGCCAGAACUUUAUAUGCCUGCUAUUUCCUGACUUGCAAUUGCCAAAAUUUUUUCUUUUAAAUGAAAGUAUCCUUAGUGCAUCUCAAUCAAUUUAUAAAUUAUGUUUUGCAAAUGGAUUUAUUAAGUUGAUUUUUAAAAAAAAAGAUCUGGCAAAUAAAGGUGACGUAGUUUACACAGAAAUGUUUGUCUCCUAAUUAAAAAGUGUUCAGCUUGGUAAUCUACGAUGUUUGGAGAGCAAUCAGAAUAUGUAUUACAGUGUUUGUACAGGAAAAACAUGGUUUUCUGUGAUGGCAUUUUUAAAGAAGAAGUAUUGUGAAGAUUCAUAGGGCUGUUUUUUAAUGCAAGGAGGUUAACAGAGAGUCUGUUGGAGAGAGAUAUUCUCUGUGGCAUGGCAUUAGUUAACUGAAGGUAGUAUUUGUUUCUGAGAUUCAAUGUUUAUUGUGUAGAUGUAGCCAGUAGUGCAUUAUAAUUGUAGAAUUAUCCAUUGGUGCUAUGAACUUAGAGUCUCGUGGUUCAUGUCUUGAACAAUAUCGUUUUACUGGUACAUGUAUUUAAUUAAAGUCCUCUACCAUUACAAAUGUUUGUAUAUUAUGGUAUCAACAUGUUUUUUUGGCAAUUCACUUUGGUUGAUAGAGAAAUGAUUCUUGUAGUGGGGUGUAUACCCACUUAAUUUUUAGGAAUUUUUUUUUUUAAUUUAUCCCGAAACAUGGGAGCUAUAAUCAAUAUGAUUAUUCAAAUGGAAUUUUUUUUAAGGCAUCAUAACCAAGAUGCAAACAAGAUUGUUGUUAGGCAAAAUUAUGUUGACAUCUGAUUAACAUAAUGUUCAGAAAAAUGAUUUUUAUUAAUAAUAUAAUAUCCUUCUCAAUGCCAAAAAACCCCAGUUCAUAACCAGUCUUCCAUACAACUGUACAGGUGUGAGAUGAGCUUUUAAAACGAGAACAGUUAUGAAGAGAUUAAUAUACAUGUAUUUUGUGUACCAAACUUGUUAGUUCAUUAUUUGAAGCAAACUUCUUACUAGUAAUCAACAAAUUGUUUUUAUGCUAUUUAAAAUUUAUUGUGUUCGCCUGAAAAAGCAAUGAUGGCGUCAGGUAAAAUGAAUUGUUUUAUGUAAACAAAAUUAUUUACAUUGUAACAAAUCGCCUUAAACAAACUGAUGCUAGCAAUGUCAUUAAUACUGAAUGAGAUCAAUAUUUUGGUCAAACUGAUUGUUAAAUUGCAUGUUGAGAUUAAAGAAUUAAACAAAUGUCAACGU
rnacentral:sRNA from 1 species